rnacentral:rRNA from 1 species
ACAUGAAGCUGGAAUCGCUAGUAAUCGCGAAUCAGAAUGUCGCGGUGAAUACGUUCCCGGGUCUUGUACACACCGCCCGUCACACCAUGGGAGUUGGUAACGCCCGAAGUCAGUGACCCAACCAAACGGAGGGAGCUGCCGAAGGCGGGACCGGUAACUGGGGUGAAGUCGUAACAAGGUACC